CUGCUACUUCUGCGAUUUCUGUGACUCCUGCGAUUUCUGCGACGUACCACCGUAUGAAAAAGUUACAUCUGUCCACACAGAAAAUUGCAUCUCAACAAACCUGUCAUUGGUACCUGAACUACAUUUCAGUCACUCAGUAAAGUGAUAAUUCAAAAUAUCAUUGUCAACAGAUCUGAAGAAAUUGCCAGUCUUUAGACCGUUUUCGUCAGACGAGAGACGCAGUUCUGACUGAUUACUGGUUGCUGUACAUAUCUAUCCACAUCAAGGC